AUGAACGCUGGCGGCGUGCCUAAUACAUGCAAGUCGAGCGAACAGACGAGGAGCUUGCUCCUCUGACGUUAGCGGCGGACGGGUGAGUAACACGUGGAUAACCUACCUAUAAGACUGGGAUAACUUCGGGAAACCGGAGCUAAUACCGGAUAAUAUAUUGAACCGCAUGGUUCAAUAGUGAAAGACGGUUUUGCUGUCACUUGUAGAUGGAUCCGCGCCGCAUUAGCUAGUUGGUAAGGUAACGGCUUACCAAGGCAACGAUGCGUAGCCGACCUGAGAGGGUGAUCGGCCACACUGGAACUGAGACACGGUCCAGACUCCUACGGGAGGCAGCAGUAGGGAAUCUUCCGCAAUGGGCGAAAGCCUGACGGAGCAACGCCGCGUGAGUGAUGAAGGUCUUCGGAUCGUAAAACUCUGUUAUUAGGGAAGAACAAAUGUGUAAGUAACUAUGCACGUCUUGACGGUACCUAAUCAGAAAGCCACGGCUAACUACGU
rnacentral:rRNA from 1 species